CACGGGGGGAGCAAGCGUUGUUCGGAAUCACUGGGCGUAAAGCGCACGUAGGCGGCUUUCUAAGUCAGGGGUGAAAUCCUGGAGCUCAACUCCAGAACUGCCUUUGAUACUGGAGAGCUUGAGUCCGGAAGAUGGUGAGUGGAACUCCGAGUGUAGAGGUGAAAUUCGUAGAUAUUCGGAAGAAACACCAGUGGCGAAGGCGGCUACACUGGUCCGGUACUGACGCUGAGGUGCGAAAGCGUGGGGAG
rnacentral:rRNA from 1 species